rnacentral:rRNA from 1 species
AUCCAUGCUAGUCGAACGACCCCGAACUAUGGCGGGGAAGUGGCACACUGCUCAGUAACACGUAGCUAACCUAACCUCGGGACGGGCAUAACCCCGGGAAACUGGGGCUAAUACCCGAUAGGCGUGGAAUCCUGGAAUGGAUCCACGCCCAAAGGUCAGCGCACCCACGUUGUGCGCGCACGCCCGAGGAUGGGGCUGCGGCCGAUCAGGCUGUUGGCGAGGUAAAGGCUCACCAAACCUUUGACCGGUACGGGCCAUGAGAGUGGUAGCCCGGAGAUGGGCACUGAGACAAGGGCCCAGGCCCUACGGGGCGCAGCAGGGGCGAAACCUCCACAAUUCACGAAAGUGAGAUGGGGUUACCUCGAGUGCCAUCUGAAGAAGGUGGCUUUUCCAUGGUGUAAUGAGCCGUGGGAAUAAGGGGGGGGCAAGACUGGUGUCGGCCGCCGCGGUAACACCAGCCCCCCGAGUGGUGGGGAUGUUUAUUUGGCCUAAAGCGUCCGUAGCCGGCCCGGUAAAUCUCUCGUUAAAUCCAGCGUCCUAAGCGUUGGGCUGCGAGUGAAACUGCCAGGCUAGAGGGUGGGAGAGGUCAGCGGUAUUUCUGGGGUAGGGGCGAAAUCCAUUGAUCCCAGGAGGACCACCAGUGGCGAAGGCUGCUGACUAGAACACGCCUGACGGUCAGGGACGAAAGCUGGGGUAGCGAAUCGGAUUAGAUACCCGAGUAGUCCCAGCCGUAAACGAUG